CGUGCUCUGCUUCCACCGAAACCUCCGCUCUCUCCCCACCCACUGAAGGAACGCGGCGGCUGCUCUGAGCUGAGCCGCGCUGCGUCGGCACAACUUUGGCACCCUCUGAGUGAAGAAGCGGUGCUGCAGAGGUGAGAGGCGGUGCGUUAACUCAGGGCUGUUCCUUCCUGCUGCUCCUGGGGUGACUCAGCCCAUGCUGCGUGGUCACAGCAGCUCCAGCAGUGAGGAUGCCAGUGCAUGCAGGCAAGGGUUGCAUUCCCCACCCUCUCCCCCUACGCUCUGUUAGACUGCAUCAAAUGGUGCUCUGAGCAUCCUCCCUAUUGCUCUGAUUAUCAGGUAUAGAGAAGGGCAAGGAGAAAUGCCACCCCAAUGGGGUUUUGCUUGUUCUAAUUGCUCUGCCCCCCUGGCUCCUGGCCCCAUCUCUCUUUCCCAGGAAGACCCAGGGACCAUUCCUGCAGUACAGAGCCCACUCACACAGCGCCUCAUCGUCGUCUUCAGGUUCAGCAGCAUGCUGCCCAGGUCGCCCAUGCUCUGCUGGUGGCUGGUGCUGGUCUUCAUGGCGCGGGGCAGAACCUCAUCUGUGUAGAAGCGCAGCAUCUCUGACACUGACUGGCAGCCAAAGUUCCCCUGGAGGGGAGGAGAGAGUAUGCUGAUGGCAAUGCUUUUGCAAUCUGAACCCCAGCAGCACUGCUCAGAGGCUGGGGAUGAGUGUGCAUCAGCCCUGCUGCAGGCACCUUGCUGGAAGGAGGGUCCAUGGGCCGCAUGUGACAGUGGGAAAUAUCCCGAAUUAGGAUCAUUUUCCUUUGGUGGAAGGAUGCAGAAGGGCAGUGGACUUGCACUGAAAUAGUAAUCCUUACCUUAAAUUCAUCCAGCAGUUCAGAGCUGAGCAGUUGGAUGUUAAGUUCAUCGUCUCUGGAUUGCUGUAGGAGAAUGCAAUAGAAGAAGUGCUUUAUGCAGGCAGCUGUGUUUUCCUCUUUGCCUCACUCGAGGAUUGCUCUGCCUGCUUGCAUUUAUGCUUUAACCCCACUGCUGGCAUCCCUUGAGUCCCCUUUUCCAGGGGCUAUCUGUUCCUCCAACUCCUGAGCCCAGGCUGAGCUGAUGCUGCGCAGAGCAUCACCCCAUGGCACCAAAGUGCUCAACAGCUUUUCUGAGAGGUAAGAAACUUUCAUUCCUGAUAUUAAUUGAAAGACUUGCAGCAGGCUUGAAGUCUUAAAUCCCACUGAUCGUGUUAAUUUAAUAACUAAUACAAGCCAUGCCACUCAUCUGGCUUUUAAUCUGGAGAGUUAUGUUCCUUUAUUGCUAAAGCAUGCUGGCAAUAGCUGAAGGAGGAACCCUGGGGUGAGCACCCAUCCCUGCGGCCCCGCAGCACCAGCGGGUGCUCAGUGCUGCUCUGUAUGCAAAGCACUGAGAUUUGUCACAAGGCAAUCACUCAGGCUUCUGUGGCUCUGUCAGAGAAAGUCUGUAGCAAAAGGUUUCCCUUUUCAGACAGUGCUGGCUUCAGUGAGGCCGGAGCUCAUUGCCCUGAAGAAUUUAAUCCCUUGCUGCUAAGUCAGUGCAUGAUUUGCUCUGCAACUUUUAGGGGGAAGUCUGCACAAUAAGGCUUGCAUUAUGAAAUCUCUCGAGUUCAUUAUAACUAAAACCAGGAAGAAAAGCCUUUCGUGUUAUCUCUCAGCAAGCAGUGAAACCAGAGGGCAGCCCAUAGCGCAGCACAUGGCCAAAUCUCUUCUGCCCAGAGCAACCUGCUGCCCCCUCAUCCAAACCACUCAACUCUGCAAAAUGACCCCACGAAACAGAAGGAGGUGUCAUACUUACAAAAUAGUCCUUGAUUUCCUCAAACUUCACCCUCAGCUCCCGCAGCCGGAUGGGCAGCAGCUCGGAGGAGUGCAGGCAGGUGGGCUCCAAGCAGUGGGCAGGCAGGGUGCAAGCAGCCAGCAGCAGCAGCAGGGCCUGGCAGCAGCUCUGCAUCCUGGGGUGUUUAUCCUUUAUUCUGCUGCUGCCCUUGGUUGGGUGCCACUGGAGGGCAAAGCACAGCUCUGCAGACUUCACCUUGAUGGAGCCCCUCAUUUAUACUCUCAAAGCAUCUCAGUUUCCUUUCCCCGCUUCCUGACGAGUGAUAUUAAGGGUAUAAGUCACUCACUCAAUAAACCCAAAUGUCACUUGGGUUUCCCGUCAACUUUGGGUUUCCUGUUCUCUUGACCCCCCUCCCCUCCUCACUACCCAUCAAAUCUUUUGUGCUUAGACUCUGCAUUUUUUUUUCUAUUGCUUGCUUCUUGUAAAUUUAAAUGAGGCGACAGAUACAAAGCGAAGAAGGAAAGGUGCUGUGUGAGCUCACAUCUGCAUUUCACAGCCACUUUUUAUUUUUAGAAGAAUGCUCUGCUCUCGGGGGAAAAAGUGUUUCUAUAUUUAAGUCUCUCUACAGGUUGACACCUCUGAUCCCCAGCACUGAGCAUCACCCAGCAGCACUGCGUUCAGUGAAUCUGUCCAGGUGCUCCUCACUCCAGCAUUGCUCUUCCCCAACCUGCUCAGACACUGUCACCUCCUUUAGCACUGUGAUGCAAGCAUGCAACACUCUGAAUCUUUCUUUCUUUUUCUUUUUAAUGGAGUUAAAACAAAGUCAGUGUGAUGCUCCAGCUCUCAGCCGAUGUUUUACCCAGGCAUUACAACGGUCAGCCCUGUGCACAGCGCAUGGAGACACACUGGGGACUUGGGCUCCUGGUGUCAGUUCUGCAUGCUUCCCUGCUAGUAAUGAUAGCAACUAUCACUUUCUUGAAGUGUUUCCUAGCAGCACGUGCUGAGUUUUAUUGCACUGUAUCAUGGGACCCACUCUUUGCACAUUGAUGUGCUCUGCUCACGUGUCCAAGCUGAACACGAAACCUUUUUCUUUCUUGUUCUUACAUGCAAUUUUGUUUCCAAGAAAUGGACAACAAUCCCAGCUGAGCCCCCAGCUCCAUGAACUGGGUGUGCUCUCCUCCCCACUGAUAAAAGUGACCAUUGCAGUGAAGAUAUCUCCACUGACGUCUCUCUUCCGUUUUCCUUUCUUUCAUGCUCUCUUUCUGCACAACUUUAUGCUUGUUUCCUUUUGGUGAUAAGGCUGUUAUCCAAGAAAGAGAAAGCAGAGAUUAACUUGGCCUUUCUGGGGGCUUCUUUGAAGGCUUUUCUGCUAUCUGGAAGUGGCAUUCUCUUCAUGCUGCCUCCAGCUUGUUGCCUGGGACAAAUCACUCUGAUUCUUAUUUCUUUCACUGCCCUGAGCCUCCUUCAGUGUGAAUUUGCAGACCUCUGUGAAGGAGCGUGUUACAAUUAACGCUGGAAAAACGCAAAGCAUUCCUUAUACCAUAUAUUUAGAUUUCAUUUAGAAAAUGAAAGAGAGGAAAGUUUUGUGUUAGAACAUGCAUGAGUAAGGGCAGAUGAAUUAUGUAUUUGUAAUCAGGUGAGGUAACUUCUCUAAACACAGCAGUGAGGGGUUUUGCCUGGUUUGUUUUCCUUCUGUUGGUGUUGCACCUUUCCCAAGGGCCGGGAGGGAGAGUUUUCCCAGUGAAUCACUGCAUGGGCACAGAACUUCUAUCUGAAUCAGAGCGCGUCAUGGGGACCGUGCCCCGCUUUUCUUCCCCUGUUUGCGUGCCUCGGCGCGGUUUCUUCCCUUGACCACCAGCAAUGAGGUUUGGAGGCCAUGAGGAAGGAGAAGGGCAGCAGCUGACUCAGACCAAAAUGUGUGGUGUUAAACAUAACCCGUGUCACUGGUGCUGUCUCACAGCUCUGUGCUUUCACCCCAAGCUGCAAGAUCUUAUUUUGCAUCCACUCCAAGCUGCCUCAGGUUGGUAGAGCCGUGCGAGCAGGACCUGGUGGCGUCUGAGCUCCAAGGGGGAAACCAAAAAACCAAAACCUGACGUGGCAGCACCUGGAUCUCACCCCGUUCUCUGCGUAUGUGCAGCUGGGGCCAAAGCGGUGAUUUCAAGCCCCCUGGGUCGGUGCAGUUUGGGGAACCCUGCUUGCAGACCGGGCCACGCUUGCAGGGCGGCUCAGGGCUGCGCUCGCGGUUCGGCGUCGGCAUGGCGAGGCUCGGGCUCUGGCCAUGGUGCUGACUGAGGGGUCCCGGCCCGGGGUCGUCCCACACUUUCCUUCCUGCCCGAGAGCUGAGCUCAUGUUUCCAAACUUCCCUUCUUCUCAGCAAUCGUUGCUCUCCGUGAAGUCAUCUCGGUUCGACACCCAGACCAUACUGAGCAGCUCCCUUAUGCAGUUCCCUCCUCCCUGUUUUGGAACCUGCUUUGUUUUUCAGCUGCACAGCGUGUAAGCCAGUUGCGUCCAUUCCACAAAGGAAACUGCCCUGCGCACGCACGAUGCUCGCUGUGUUUACCUGUGUUUCCUUCACCAUGGCAGAGAUUUUGACGGUGCAGUUUCGCUCUGACUCACCACUGCUUACUGCUGUGGAAACGCAUUGACUCUGCAGUACUACGAAGCAUUUGCAUGAAUGAAUAAAGCACCUUUCCUAAAGAGUG